rnacentral:snRNA from 1 species
GUGCUCACUUCGGCAGCACAUAUACUAAAUUGGAACUAUACAGAGAAGAUGAGCAUGGCCCCUGCUCAAGGAUGACAUGCAAAUUUGUGAAGCAUUCCAUGUUUUU